rnacentral:rRNA from 1 species
GACAUAGGGGGCAAGCGUUAUCCGGAAUAACUGGGCGUAAAGAGAGCGUAGGCGGUUUUGCAAGUUGAUGGUGAAAGCCCGGAGCUUAACUCCGGAAUUGCCCUCAAAACUGCAGAACUAGGGUGUGGGAGAGGAAGAUGGAAUCCCUAGUGUAGCAGAGGAAUGCGUAGACAUUAGGAGGAACAUCAGCGGCGAAGGCGAUCUUCUGGAACAUAACUGACGCUGAGGCUCGAAAGCGUGGGGAGCAAAC